CCCCAGCAGGCCCCGCAGCCACCCGCCCCCGGCCCGCUGGGGCCGCCUCGCUCCCCUCCGGCAUGGGCCCCGCAGGCGAAGCCGAAGCCGCCCAGCAAACCUCUGCCAGCGCUGAAGGGCAAAGUGCCGAGCCACGGCGAGGGCACGCCGGCACCGUCCCUUCCACCCUUUCAGCGGUGUCCCCCGCCCAAGGUGGCCCUGAAGCCGCCCCCUGCCAGGAGGUGACCAAGGAUGCUCCAUCCGCCACCGCGGCCGGCCGGGAGCGGCACAGCUGGGUGGUGGCACAGCUGGAGAGCCAUGGUCUCGCUUCCACCCUUACUUGAAUUGCCGGCCAGACCCUCAGACCCUGCCCGGGGUGGGCACCAGUGUUUACAGAUCCUCGAGUUGUGCCUUAAUGGACUCGGCAGCCUCACGGUCCAGCCGGGGCUUCCCAAGGAAACCAGGAGCGGGGACAAUGCCAGCUCCGGCUUGGAGGACCAACCCACGUUGCGCCCUGGGAGCUGCUGCCUUCUCUCCCGACGUCCUGAAUGUGUCCUGUCCCCCUGCCCUUCCCUGCCGGAGAGAGGAGCUCCUGGCACCACGGGGCAGAAGAGCACAGCGCCGUGGGGACCUGCCCCAGGGACAUCACCCCGGGGGAUGUCACCAGGGGCUGUGGCAGGUCCGAGCUGGGCUUGGCCUCCCCACGGGGCUUUUAUCUCUGGAGUUAUUCCUUGAGUGUUCAAAAGGGAAUUCCCUGGGAGCCUUUUUACUGCAGCCAUUUAUUUAUGACCCUUAUGUGACCAUUUUGAGCCACUUGCUGUAAAACCAGGCCUCCCAUUUUUUGAUAUAAUUGAGGUUCAAGGCUUUUAUACCAAUAAAGACUGAAGGAAGAGGUGUCAUGGGGUGUGUCUGGGCAGGAGGGCACAGCGGGGUGGCAGCAGGCAGGGAGCUGUGCGGGGACCACGGAAGGGGAAAAGGGUGGAGCUGAGCUCCCCAGUCCAGUGCCAGAGCCACAGGGGCUGAUGUGCAGCACAUUCUGCCAGCCACGCAGAGCCAGGCUGCCCCAGGAUGCUGCAGGGAGUCCCCUCAUGCUCAGCACCAUCCUGCCUGUGGCUGGCUUGGAGCACAGCUCCCAGGGUGGCACUCGCUGCAGCCGAGGACACCCACACCAUGCAGUGCUGCUGCAGGGGACAGGCAGAGGGGUCCCCCACUUCAUGUGCCACCAGCCCUAGGACACAUAAAACCAUCCCAAAAAAUGGUAACAAAAUAAUUUUAUUCUGCUUUAUCAAAAGAACUUAACUGUGAAUGUAAACCUGACCGGAUGUAUCGUGUUUCCUUAAGGAGAUGCGCAUCCAGGGGCAGACCCCUUUAGUCACAGGGCCACACAGGCCAUGGGAGAGGAGAAAAAAGCCAGUUCCAUCCCAAAAUCCCAGCUGCAGCCAUGUCCCUGCUCACAGCUGGGGCUCAGAGGGCAGUAAGGGUGCCAAAGCCGUGGCCAGCCCCUCCUGCACACACUGGGGCUGCUGCAGCAGGGGCUGGGGAAGCAGGGGAGGGGGCUGCUGCAGAAGGCACUGGGCAUCACACAUGCUGCUGCAGGAGCUGGGACCACGGGAGCAUCCCCUGGGGUCCCUCAGACCACGUGGGGAGGUGGCUGAUGCAUACAGAGGGACACUGAGCCAGUGACAGCCACUGGAGGCAAAGUCAUGGCGCAGGGAGGCACGGCAAGGCUGGGAUCCAAAGGGAAGCAGCUCUUCCUGCACUGGCCUGGCAGGCUUUCCUGCUCCCUGCAUGGACAUCUUGCUCUGAUCACUGCAGGGGAGCUGUCAACUGCCUGGUUAUUGCUCCCAGCAGCUCCCCUCUGCCCUUGUCACUUCCAGGCUGGCAGAACCUACUCUGUCCAGCCACUCCUGAUGGCCAGUGUGCCCAAUCCCAGUAACACAUGAAGAAAAUCAUGGAGACCACAUUCCUGCCAUCAUUCCCUCCAGCAGUGCUUCUAGCCUAUAAAGCCUGCCCUCAUCCCAAAAUCCAACCAAAGGGGUGCUGCUGGGGUGAGGGGAGGUCUGUGCCAAGGGACUGCCAGAACACUGAGGAGGUGGCAGGGAGAGAUGAGACUACACUGCUCCAUCAAAGCCAUCCCACAGGAAAAAAAGAGACCCUGCAAGCCAAGCAGCACUUCCAGAAAACAUUUCAAACACUACAGAACACACUGCCACCCCUCUCUGCCCUGGUGCCCUGGUGACUGGCUCCUGCCAUGGCUGGGUUGGAAGAGGAGCUGGGAUCCUGGAGCAGAGCAUCAGCUGAGCCUUGGGAGUUUGCAGGCAGACAGAGGACAAGAAAGACUGCCUGAAACUGCUGCAAAGUCCCACAGUUACGUCUCACACCCUGCAGAAGGGGCAGGGCCAACACAACCCUGCUGUGCCCCAGAGAUGGAGGAGAGCAGCCAGGACAGGAGCAGAGACAGCAGGAGGCACCGUGUGCUGCUGGAGACACUGCCACCCCUGAAACCCAGCCACACAGGGUGGGGACACAGCAUGCAGAGCCCACACAGCUCCUCUGGGGACACCACAGCACAGGCAAAGCUGCUUUGGGUUGGAUGUUUCUCAAUGGCACAAGCUAAACACAUCCCUCCCCUGGCCAGGAGGCUGCAGGUGGAGCCAGGGACAGAAGAUCCAAACAGGAUGAGUGCCAGGAGUGUCACCACCCCCCAGCCCC